rnacentral:rRNA from 1 species
UACGUAGGAGGCGAGCGUUGUCCGGAAUUAUUGGGCGUAAAGAGCUCGUAGGCGGUUUGUCGCGUCUGCUGUGAAAACUGGAGGCUCAACCUCCAGCCUGCAGUGGGUACGGGCAGACUAGAGUGCGGUAGGGGAGAUUGGAAUUCCUGGUGUAGCGGUGGAAUGCGCAGAUAUCAGGAGGAACACCGAUGGCGAAGGCAGAUCUCUGGGCCGUAACUGACGCUGAGGAGCGAAAGCAUGGGGAGCGAACAGG